AUUCCUAGAGGGGCAUUCAGUGAUUCUGGUGGCCUCCUCCACUGGGGCAGUCACAGGUGCAAAUGACAGCGGAAUAUCCCUACAGGGCACAUGGUUUCACCCUGAUACUUAUAUCUUUGUCUCCUAUGGACUCCAUGACCCCUUUCAAAGCAACCAACGUUGACUGAGCACCAAGAUAAAGGAUACAAGCGAUCACCCAAGCAGAUGGAAUGUCAGGCAGCCAGGCCGGAAGAAAGCAUGGCCUCCUGAAGGGAGAGGGAAGAAAGACUCAGACCGAUGGAGUAUGUCUGCUGUGGGGUUACAAGAAUGGUGGAUGGCUCAGUCCUGACCUAGCACCCAGUAUCUGGUAGACACAGAACCGUGUCUAGUGAGAAGUCUAAGGAUAAAUCUCCAGGAGAAAGACGGUCCCGUGGUGGUAAGAACAAUGGCAAACGGGCAGACUCCUCGGGGUGUCUUCGCGGCUUACUUGCCUCAGUCCCCAGGUCGCUCACCCUUUCCAGCCAGCCAGCCUCGGACAGCCGGGAAUCGUCAUGAUCAGGUCGGAAGGAGGGCAGGAAGCGGCGCUCACUGUCAGUGGUUCGGAUUCUUUCUUCCAGCCUCCCUGGGGCUGGCAAGGGCAGCAGCGAGUCUAGCCAUUCUUCAGGUUAGCUAAGGUGCAUGAAGAUGUUACAAAGGGCCAUGCCUUUUCCUCCAGAAGGAAAAGUGACGCACACAACCUUCUCCCUGGAGCUACUCAAGUCGUAGCUCAGAUGGUUUCCGCUCGCAC